rnacentral:rRNA from 1 species
CCUACGGGUGGCUGCAGUGGGGAAUAUUGGACAAUGGGCGAAAGCCUGAUCCAGCCAUGCCGCGUGUGUGAAGAAGGCCUUCGGGUUGUAAAGCACUUUCAGUGGGGAAGAAAGCCUUGGGGCUAAUACCCUCGAGGAAGGACAUCACCCACAGAAGAAGCACCGGCUAACUCCGUGCCAGCAGCCGCGGUAAUACGGAGGGUGUGAGCGUUAAUCGGAAUUACUGGGCGUAAAGCGCGCGUAGGCGGUCUGAUAAGCCGGUUGUGAAAGCCCCGGGCUCAACCUGGGAACGGCAUCCGGAACUGUCAGGCUAGAGUGCAGGAGAGGAAGGUAGAAUUCCCGGUGUAGCGGUGAAAUGCGUAGAGAUCGGGAGGAAUACCAGUGGCGAAGGCGGCCUUCUGGACUGACACUGACGCUGAGGUGCGAAAGCGUGGGUAGCAAACAGGAUUAGAUACCCGAGUAGUC